rnacentral:snoRNA from 1 species
GCCAAGGCUAGAGUCACAGUCUGACACAGCACUUGUCCUGGUGUGGUAGAGUUCUCGGGGAGAAUCUGCUCAUCUUGAUUCCCCUGGGGGGGCAGUUAGUGCCCCCCCACCAAUGCCCAGAGCAAAAACAUGC